AGUCUGGUGCCAGCAGCCGCGGUAAUUCCAGCUCCAACGGCGUAUAUUAACGUUGUUGCAGUUAAAAAGCUCGUAGUUGAAGUUAUGAUAUGUCCUUUUAAAUUUCUGCAUUUUUGCCUUCGGGUGAUGGUGUAGUGUUUUUAGGCAUGUCGUAUUUUUGCUGUUUUGAUGUAAGUGACUUCACUGUUGCUUGCAGCUUGCAGCAUAUUACUGUGAAAAAAUUAGAGUGUUCCAAGCAGAUGUAUAUCUGAAUAGUUCAGCAUGGAAUAAUGGAAUAGGGGAGAUUGCCCUAUCGUUGGUUUUGGGGUGAUUUCUGAUGAUGAAUAGGGACAGCUGGGGGCAUUAGUAUUUAAUUGUCAGAGGUGAAAUUCGAGGAUUUAUGAAAGACUAACUUCUGCGAAGGCAUUUGCCAAGGAUGUUUUCAUUGAUCAAGAACGAAAGUUAGGGGAUCGAAGACGAUCAGAUACCGUCGUAGUCUUAACCAUAAACGAUGCCGACUAGGGCUGAGUCUUUUUAGAUUCGGACCUUUAGAGAAAUCGCAAGUUUUUGGGUUCUGGGGGGAGUAUGGUCGCAAGGCUGAAACUUAAAGGAAUUGACGGAAGGGCACCACCAGAAGUGGAGCCUGCGGCUUAAUUUGACCCAACACGGGGAAACUCACCAGGUCCAGACAUAGAGAGGAUUGACAGAUUGAGAGCUCUUUCUCGAUCCUAUGGAAAGUGGUGCAUGGCCGUUCUUAGUUGGUGGAGUGAUUUGUCUGGUUAAUUCCGUUAACGAACGAGACCUCAAGAGAGUGUUUUGUGCUUCCUUAUCAAAGGAAUGUCUAUCCGCUCUCGACUAUCGGUUCUUAAGCCGAAGGAAGGUUGAGGCAAUAACAGGUCUGUGAUGCCCUUAGAUGUUCUGGGCUGCACGCGCGCUACACUGAUAGAGGCAAAAAGUGGGACAUUUGCCUUGUUCGGAAGGACUGGGUAAUCUUGCGAAACUCUAUCGUGCUGGGGAUAGAUCUUUGUAAUUAUCGAUCUUCAACGAGGAAUUCCUAGUAAGCGCGAGUCAUCAGCUCGCGUUGAUUACGUCCCUGCCCUUUGUACACACCGCCCGUCGCUACUACCGAUUGAAUGGUUUAGUGAGGUUGGGGGAGGCGGGUCAUUUAUGACUCUUCCUAACAGAAAUUGCCGAACCUUAU
rnacentral:rRNA from 1 species